rnacentral:rRNA from 1 species
GACGAGGGAUCCUAGCGUUGUUCGGAAUCAUUGGGCGUAAAGCGGGUGUAGGUGGCUUUGUAAGUCAGGUGUGAAAUCCCAGGGCUCAACCCUGGACGUGCAUUUGAUACUGCGAAGCUUGAGUGUAGGAGAGGAUAGUAGAAUUCCUGGUGUAGUGGUGAAAUACGUAGAUAUCAGGAGGAAUACCGGAGGCGAAGGCGGCUAUCUGGCCUAACACUGACACUCAGACCCGAAAGCGUGGGGAUCAAACAGG